GUUAGUUAGAGAUCGAAACUGGACCUGAGAGAGACUAGACUUCUAGUAAGAGUAGGUGCGCCUUAAGUUGAGGAGAGCUGUUCACAAGCAGUGGUUAUGAGCUCUUUCUUGUUCCGGUUCAGAAGAGGCUGCGCACCUUCAGUUGCACUAGUGGAUUGAAUAACCUUUUUUUUUAGUGCCAACAAAGUGCAUGUGUUCUUGGUUAAUAAAAACACAAGUAUAGGCUGGAGGACUGAUACUAUAAGUAGGACAAAGGCCUUCAAAGAGAAAUGAAAGGAUUUUUUUAGCAUUUUUCCACUUUAUCCAAGGAAUCCCUUUCUUGGCAUUUGUAUUUGAGAGAGAGAGCUA
rnacentral:lncRNA from 1 species